rnacentral:rRNA from 1 species
UUUAUGGAGAGUUUGAUCCUGGCUCAGGAUGAACGCUGGCGGCGUGCCUAAUACAUGCAAGUCGAGCGAACGGACGAGAAGCUUGCUUCUCUGAUGUUAGCGGCGGACGGGUGAGUAACACGUGGAUAACCUACCUAUAAGACUGGGAUAACUUCGGGAAACCGGAGCUAAUACCGGAUAAUAUUUUGAACCGCAUGGUUCAAAAGUGAAAGACGGUCUUGCUGUCACUUAUAGAUGGAUCCGCGCUGCAUUAGCUAGUUGGUAAGGUAACGGCUUACCAAGGCAACGAUGCAUAGCCGACCUGAGAGGGUGAUCGGCCACACUGGAACUGAGACACGGUCCAGACUCCUACGGGAGGCAGCAGUAGGGAAUCUUCCGCAAUGGGCGAAAGCCUGACGGAGCAACGCCGCGUGAGUGAUGAAGGUCUUCGGAUCGUAAAACUCUGUUAUUAGGGAAGAACAUAUGUGUAAGUAACUGUGCACAUCUUGACGGUACCUAAUCAGAAAGCCACGGCUAACUACGUGCCAGCAGCCGCGGUAAUACGUAGGUGGCAAGCGUUAUCCGGAAUUAUUGGGCGUAAAGCGCGCGUAGGCGGUUUUUUAAGUCUGAUGUGAAAGCCCACGGCUCAACCGUGGAGGGUCAUUGGAAACUGGAAAACUUGAGUGCAGAAGAGGAAAGUGGAAUUCCAUGUGUAGCGGUGAAAUGCGCAGAGAUAUGGAGGAACACCAGUGGCGAAGGCGACUUUCUGGUCUGUAACUGACGCUGAUGUGCGAAAGCGUGGGGAUCAAACAGGAUUAGAUACCCUGGUAGUCCACGCCGUAAACGAUGAGUGCUAAGUGUUAGGGGGUUUCCGCCCCUUAGUGCUGCAGCUAACGCAUUAAGCACUCCGCCUGGGGAGUACGACCGCAAGGUUGAAACUCAAAGGAAUUGACGGGGACCCGCACAAGCGGUGGAGCAUGUGGUUUAAUUCGAAGCAACGCGAAGAACCUUACCAAAUCUUGACAUCCUUUGACAACUCUAGAGAUAGAGCUUUCCCCUUCGGGGGACAAAGUGACAGGUGGUGCAUGGUUGUCGUCAGCUCGUGUCGUGAGAUGUUGGGUUAAGUCCCGCAACGAGCGCAACCCUUAAGCUUAGUUGCCAUCAUUAAGUUGGGCACUCUAAGUUG